GGCCCGGGAUGAGCGCCGGCAUGUAUUAUCUGAGCGGAGCUGAUGUCUCUCACCGCUUUAGCUCUAGAAUUACUCUGAGGCCCG
rnacentral:snoRNA from 1 species